ACCAGCCCUAGAUUUCCAAAUCCUCUCAGUCAGGGUUCAGCACUGAACAUAGACCACUCACCAUGGACUUAGGGCUCAUAUUUGUUUUCUCUGUCUUUAUUUUAAAAGGUGUCCAGUGUGAGGUGCAAUUGCUGGAGUCUGGAGGAGGCUUAGUGAAGCCCGGAAAGUUCCUAAAACUCUCCUGUGCAGCCUCUGGAUUCACCUUCAGUGAUUAUUACAUGAAUUGGGUCCGUCAGGCUCCAGGGAAGGGGCUGGAGUGGGUCGCAUACAUUAGUAGUGAUGGGAAUAGCUUCAUCAACUAUGCUGACGCUGUGAAGGGCCGGUUCACAAUCUCCAGCGACAAUGCCAAGAACACUCUAUACCUGGAAAUGAACAGUCUGAGACCUGAAGACACAGCCAUGUAUUACUGUGCAAGAGGCACAGUGAGUGAAUGCUACUGUGAGCUCAGACAAAACACCCCGGUGGGGAACUCGAGACCAGCAGGGGGCGCCAAGAGCAUUUAG